GCUAGGCAUGCUAGACUGGCUAAAAGCGUUGUUUCAAAUACUCACUGAGUCUGAAGUAAUUCAGGACUUCAUGUGACGUCUUCUGUCGUAUAUGUGUGGCUCCUGAGUUAUCUAUCCAUUUCCUCUUCUGAAAGACACCUUCAGAGCCUGUGGACUCCUCGCCCUGAUGGUUUUAGCAGCAGGCGUGGGACCAACCCACUACCAGAAACAAGAAAUUCAGAUCAUGUGAUGACCACUGAAGCGUCUCCAUGACGACCGGGGGAAGCCAUGCUUCCUCUCAGACUGAAUUAUUCAGAGUUGCAUUGCUGACAUCUUGUGUUGUACGAGUGUACGUGAAUCCAGACACACAUUUAUAAUCUGAACCACUCUCGGCUUUUAAAAAUGAGGCGGGCGCCUGUGGGAGCAUUUAAGGUGGUAUUUCUGUUUAUUCUGAACCCUUAAAACUGAUUUCAGUGAAAGUGAUCAGCGACCAAAUGAAUACUGAGCUCAGACCAAUAAGGAGAGACCAUGUGGAACAAUGACCGCUCUGCUGUGAUGACCUGUGAUCAGAAUCUCAGCAGUGAUGGGAGUUAGGACCGGACCCCCAGAGUCUAGAUGGUGGUGUUGAAGAUGAAGACGGAGGCUUGGAUGGAGCUCUGAGCUGAAGAUGAGUAAAGAGAGAGAAUUAAAAAAGACUGCUGAGAUUUAAAGUUGAUCAGAGGCUGAUUGGUUUGCAGAAGGCGGGCAUUAAAAUGAUUGGACAAGAGCAAUGAUGUCAGGAUUGAGCUUGGAGGUAAAGAAGAGACUAGCAGCGGCUGAUUACAGCUUCAUCCUGCAGUUCUAGUUCACAUGAAUAAGAUGCACAUGUAAUAUAAUAAUACUAACGACUUAUUUAAUCGUGUAUUUAUUUGCCUUUUAAAGUGUGUCAUUAUCCUGAGUGUGAAAUAAAAAGUCAGGUGAAGUACCAC